rnacentral:rRNA from 1 species
UCAGAUUGAACGCUGGCGGCAUGCCUUACACAUGCAAGUCGAACGGCAGCGCGGGGCAACCUGGCGGCGAGUGGCGAACGGGUGAGUAAUAUAUCGGAACGUACCCUGGAGUGGGGGAUAACGUAGCGAAAGUUACGCUAAUACCGCAUACGAUCUAAGGAUGAAAGUGGGGGAUCGCAAGACCUCAUGCUCCUGGAGCGGCCGAUAUCUGAUUAGCUAGUUGGUGGGGUAAAGGCCUACCAAGGCAUCGAUCAGUAGCUGGUCUGAGAGGACGACCAGCCACACUGGAACUGAGACACGGUCCAGACUCCUACGGGAGGCAGCAGUGGGGAAUUUUGGACAAUGGGCGAAAGCCUGAUCCAGCAAUGCCGCGUGAGUGAAGAAGGCCUUCGGGUUGUAAAGCUCUUUUGUCAGGGAAGAAACGGUGCUUUCUAAUACAGAGCGCUAAUGACGGUACCUGAAGAAUAAGCACCGGCUAACUACGUGCCAGCAGCCGCGGUAAUACGUAGGGUGCAAGCGUUAAUCGGAAUUACUGGGCGUAAAGCGUGCGCAGGCGGUUUUGUAAGUCUGUCGUGAAAUCCCCGGGCUCAACCUGGGAAUGGCGAUGGAGACUGCAAGGCUAGAGUUUGGCAGAGGGGGGUAGAAUUCCACGUGUAGCAGUGAAAUGCGUAGAUAUGUGGAGGACACCGAUGGCGAAGGCAGCCCCUGGGUCAAGACUGACGCUCAUGCACGAAAGCGUGGGGAGCAACAGGAUUAGAUACCCUGGUAGUCCAC